CAGGUGUACCCUACAGCUCACAACUGGCAGUACUAUGUCAAGACCCCUGCGAAGGGAGGAGUGACGCCUUCAUCCUCGGCUUCCCGGGCACAGCCUGGCUUGCUGCAGUGGCUGAAAUUUUGGUAGAAAAUUCCUUCCAGUCACUGCUUGAGACCCCACGAACACAGGUCUUCAGGGGGCUUGUCCAUGCUUCCACAUAGUCCUUUCUGCCAUGGCAGGACUGCCUGGGCACCAGCACCCCCACCUUCUCACCCAGGGACCUGGUUGUCCCUUCUUAGUUUCCUUCCAUCCUGUUGUGGUGACUCGGGGACCAACAGCCUCAUCAGAUGAACCAGCCACCACUUUCUUCAUGUUCCCCUUUUGUGACCUGAGGUCACUGUGACGAUUUUGCAGUAGGACCUUCCUACUUUUGAGUUUUUCUGUAGAAAUAAAAGAUGAAUCUUGUUUCCCUGA